rnacentral:rRNA from 1 species
GAUUUUUACUUAUGGCCUGAAUAUACUCGAUCCCAUCACAUCUGGGAACCUUAAGCAGAGUUGAACUCUGUUAGCACUUGGAUGGGAGACCUCCAUGGAAGGCCAGGUGUUAUUGGCU